CCUACGGGAGGCAGCAGUAGGGAAUCUUCGUCAAUGGGCGCAAGCCUGAACGAGCAAUGCCGCGUGAACGAGGAAGGUCUUCGGAUCGUAAAGUUCUGUUGAAGGGGAAAAAGAGCGGAGAGAGGAAAUGAACUACGAAUGAUAUUACCCUUCGAGGACGUCACGGCUAACUACGUGCCGGCAGCCGCGGUAAUACGUAGGUGGCGAGCGUUAUCCGGAAUGGUUGGGCGAAAAGGGUGCGUAGGGGGCCUGCGAAGUAUGGGGUGAAAGGUACCGGCUCCACCGGUAUAGGCUCUGGAAACUGGCGGGCUAGAGAGCAGGAGAGGGCGGUGGAACUCCAGGUGUAGCGGUAAAAUGCGUAGAUAUAUGGAAGAACACCAGUGGCGAAGGCGGCCGCCUGGCCUGUUACUGACGCUGAGGCACGAAAGCGUGGGGAGCAAAUAGGAUUAGAUACCCCAGUAGUC
rnacentral:rRNA from 1 species